rnacentral:sRNA from 1 species
GUAGAUGUAAUCGACGACGAAGCCUUCCUUCGCUGUUGGCGAUGCGACCGGCUGAUAGAACUUGCAUUCGGUCGCCACGACCUCGUC